rnacentral:tRNA from 1 species
AAAGCUUUAGCUUAAUUAAAGCACCUGUUUUGCAUACAGGAGAUGUGGGUUAACGUCCCGCAAGUUUUAU